UACGUAGGGUGCGAGCGUUGUCCGGAAUUACUGGGCGUAAAGGGCUCGUAGGCGGCCAACUAAGUCAGACGUGAAAUCCCUCAGCUUAACUGGGGAACUGCGUCUGAUACUGGAUGGCUUGGAUCCGGGAGAGGGAUGCGGAAUUCCAGGUGUAGCGGUGAAAUGCGUAGAUAUCUGGAGGAACACCGGUGGCGAAGGCGGCAUCCUGGACCGGUAUUGACGCUGAGGAGCGAAAGCCAGGGGAGCAAACGGG
rnacentral:rRNA from 1 species